rnacentral:rRNA from 1 species
CCUACGGGUGGCAGCAGUGGGGAAUAUUGCACAAUGGGGGAAACCCUGAUGCAGCGACGCCGCGUGAGUGAAGACGUCAUUCGUUGCGUAAAGCUCUAUCAGCAGGGAAGAAACACUGACCUUACGGUCAGCAGGCGGUACCUGCGUAAGAAGCACCGGCUAACUACGUGCCAGCAGCCGCGGUAGUACGUCGGGGGCAAGCGUUAUCCGGAUUUACUGGGUGGAAAGGGAGCGUCGACGGUGCGCCAAGUCUGGAGGGAAAUGCCGCAGCCUAACUGCGGAACUGCGUUGGAAACUGGCGUACUAGAGUGCGGGAGGGGUAAGCGGAAUGCCUAGUGUAGCGGUGAAAUGCGUAGAUAUUAGGAGGAACACCGGUGGCGAAGGCGGCUUACUGGACCGUAACUGACGUUGAGGCUCGAAAGCGUGGGGAGCAAACAGGAUUAGAUACCCCUGUAGUC